rnacentral:rRNA from 1 species
GACGGAGGGUGCUAGCGUUGUUCGGAAUCACUGGGCGUAAAGGGCGCGUAGGCGGCCUCAGGUGCCGGAUGUGAAAGCCCGGGGCUCAACCCCGGAGGUGCAUCCGAAACUCUGGGGCUGGAGGUCGGAAGAGGAGGGUGGAAUACCCAGUGUAGAGGUGAAAUUCGUAGAUAUUGGGUGGAACACCGGUGGCGAAAGCGGCUCUCUGGUCCGGACCUGACGCUGAGGCGCGAAAGCGUGGGGAGCAAACAGG